rnacentral:rRNA from 1 species
AGGGCACCACCAGGAGUGGAGCCUGCGGCUUAAUUUGACUCAACACGGGAAAACUUACCCGGCCCGGACACUGGAAGGAUUGACAGAUUGAGAGCUCUUUCUUGAUUCAGUGGGUGGUGGUGCAUGGCCGUUCUUAGUUGGUGGAGCGAUUUGUCUGGUUAAUUCCGAUAACGAACGAGACUCUAGCCUACUAGUUAGCCGGCCCGGUCGUUAUGCGCCCGGGCAGCGAGCUUCUUAGAGGGACAGACGGCGAGUAAGCCGUACGAGAUAGAGCAAUAACAGGUCUGUGAUGCCCUUAGAUGUCCGGGGCCGCACGCGCGCUACACUGAAGUGAUCAGCACGCUAGCAAGCCCGCUCCGAGAGGAGCGGGUAACCGUUUGAACCCCCUUCAUGAUAGGGAUUGAGCUUUGUAACUAUUGCUCAUGAACGAGGAAUUCCCAGUAGGCGUGAGUCAUUACCUUACGCCGAUUACGUCCCUGCCCUUUGUACACACCGCCCGUCGCUACUACCGAUUGAAUG